AAGUCUGGGCAAGUGGAGGCCAAAGCCUGACCUCAACUGCUUACCCAUGUUCUGUCACCUCCAGCCCGAGGCUGCACCACCACUAGAUGAGGGGCUGUGGUUCCUAGGUUCAGAUGUGGGCUGGCUGUACCCUUUUGUAGAGUCAGGCUGAGAGCCAGGGCCAUAACGUAGUGAUCCCCAGCCUGCAUCUGGUCAGCACAUGUGCUGAAUCUGGCAGACAAUUUCAAUUUUUUUAAAAAUUGAAUUCAUCGCCAACAUUUGAAUAUCACUAGUUUCCUUGUAGAAAUACAUUUAAAAAUUUUUUAAAUUUAUUGAUUAAUUGAUUGAAUCUUUGUAAAAACAGGUCUGCUUUCCAACAAGGUACCUUUGUCAGAAAGGGUUGAGGCUUGAAGGACACAGUCCUCUUACCAAGCCGCUCUAUCUCUUGAUGCUGUAUACCCAGCUCUUAGGCGUCUGAGUAGUAAUCUAGAACUUUCUUCUCAUUGCAUGACUCAGAAAUGGUAAGAAGACUCUAAGUAAGUCUAACAAAACACUUAGGAACUGAACUGUAUCCUGCCCCCACUACAGGUCUCAAAUCUCUUCAGCAAGAUGGAUGAGAAUUCCAUACAGCUAGGACAGCUGGAAUUUUGGGGAGGCAAAGAUACAUUCCCAGAAUCCCCCAGAGUCCUGAGGACACCCACACCCUUUGUCCCAGCCACCGUAAGAAAGGCUACACUGAUAAAGGCCCUGGGCAACCGGAUGACAACAUUCUUGGACUCAGAUUGAGUGGGAAGGGCCACCUGCUCAGCACAUAGCUCAGGGCUGCCAAGAGGGCAGUGGCUGUUGGGCUACUGGAAGCAGGGGUGCCAGCCCUGCUUGGCAUUUCAACAAUGCCACAAGUACCCAAGCCAUAGUAGGGAAGCCACAUAGACUCAUUCUGCAAGGACUUAAGGGGAAAAUGCCACUCUUGUAGGCGGGGAUUCUGGGUCUGCCCACCCGCCCCGACUUAGCUCCUUCUGAACAUUGUUAUCGAGGAGGGAAUACCUCCUCAUAAACCCGAGGCACAGACAGGACUGGCUGACACGGUGCCAGGCAGGGCCUUUGGGAGCAUGGUCAAGGGCUGGCAUGACCCAGUUAGUAAAUGAUGUGAGCCAGCCGUUCUCCUCAUCUGCAGCCCACAAAGGAGUCUGAAAUGGCUUCUUCUCUAGGCCAACGUUGUAUUAUAGUUGCAGUGCUCCAAAUGCUGUCAGCGUGGCAUAACGAAGGCUUUGUCACAGGUAACAGCAGGGGAAAGUCCACAGGGGAUAGGAGAAACAAUAGGUCCCUUCCAGAUAGCCUCACAGGUCAGGGAAAUGUGGUGGCUCUGGGUCACAGAAAGCUUCACAGUCCAAGAUUAUUUUGUCAGGUUUACCAGGAGGGUGUAGCAGCAGUUGUAGAACAUGUUCAAGUUCAGGUCUUGGGACCUUUGGUCAGUGUUUUGCGUCUCUGAGCUCCACCUUAGGUAGGUAUGACUCUCAGUCCCCUUUUGAAUCUGUUUGGAAGACUGAACAGAAUACUGAAUGUAAAUCACUGGCCAUCAGUGGCUAAACGGAGGUGACAAGCUAGCCCACACCAUAGCUCCCAAACAUGUUUAAUCUCUGAGCUUUGGGGUAUGCACCACGCUAUCUAUCUUUCAAGCAGGAAGUGACUCAGGCACCCAUCCCAGUGGUUAGCAUGGGAGGGAGGAAGUUCCUCUUUAGUGUUUGCGGCAGGUCAUCUGUGGUUGGCUACAGUGGCUGGGGAUACAGGUUAGGCUAAGUGGGGUGUGGCCAGACCCUUUUGCUCUCAGGAAACAUCUCGUACUUUUGCUGAGCAUUGGCCUUCUGGGAAUAUAGACAAGAAGGCAUCACACAGAAUGUAGCCUUGUAGACCAAGGCUUGGGAAAUGUUUCUGUUUAUAUGGAACAGGAAGUUGGGAAAAAAUACUAUGGACUCUUUUUUUUUUUCUUUAAUACUAGGGCCAUCUCUCCCUUUUGUGGGACAGCAACUCAUUAUCUCCCUUUAAUGUCUUGCUAUGCACUGUCUCUUUCGAUGUUUAUUUCCACUUUUUAUUAAUUUUUAUUUUUUUUUUUCAGACAAGAUCUCAUCUUCCUACCCAGGCUGAUUUUACCCCGUGCAUCUCUCCAACAUCAGCAUCCCGAGUGCUCAGUUACAGGGAUAAGCCACAUGCCUGGCUUCUUUCAACAUGUAUUUUAAAAUGUAUUUGCUAACAUUAAAAUAUGAAAUC
rnacentral:lncRNA from 1 species